rnacentral:rRNA from 1 species
UACGUAGGGUGCGAGCGUUAAUCGGAAUUACUGGGCGUAAAGCGUGCGCAGGCGGUUAUGCAAGACAGAUGGGAAAUCCCCGGGCUCAACCUGGGAACUGCAUUUGUGACUGCAUAGCUGGAGUGCGGCAGAGGGGGAUGGAAUUCCGCGUGUAGCAGUGAAAUGCGUAGAUAUGCGGAGGAACACCGAUGGCGAAGGCAAUCCCCUGGGCCUGCACUGACGCUCAUGCACGAAAGCGUGGGGAGCAAACAGG